GUAUUUUACAUGAUGAUUUCAUAGUUCAACUGACAAAUGUUGAUGACACACUUAGCAAUGUCUUUCGCUCCUAGCUGAUUAGCCUU